AAAAGCGCUUUGCCUUAUAUUUACUUAUUUCAUUGUCAGCGCCAACUUGCAAGUGGAAAUGUAAUUCAAAUGAGGGGGCGUUCCUAAGGGUGCCAUGGGUUGAACUAUUCGCUUAUUGGUUGAUCGACAUUCGAUUUCUGAAAUCUACUAGCCAUGCCUGCCACAGAUGACAGAACGUGGGUCUGAAAGUCAGGGAAACAGCCGACCUAGUUUAGUAGUCCUACUUGGUGAGAAGUGAGAGAAUAUGCAUUAUCCACCGCCGAAUGUCAAAGCAUGGUAUAAGAGUCUCUGACUUGAAUAAUUCCACUGACAUCGCAACGUUGGAUGCUGGGUGAUUACAGGGAUCCCAGGAUCUCAUCCAAAUUCUGGGUUCAGAAUGAUGCAAGGACGUCUCAGGUUCCGACGUACAAAGGAGGACUUCGUGUGCAAGAAUCCAUGCCACGUCUGGAUCCACCGGGAAUUGUCCGCACACUACAACUACAAACUGUUCGCCGUAGAUGAUAUUCUGUGCCAGCCCCCAACAGUCAAAGGCAUAGCUAUGGCAACCAUGAAGUCAUAAAUUAAAGCUCUAUAUUGGGGGACUCGGAAGAAAGUACAAAAAUAUAUUAAGACCAUAUUUUUUUCACCCAUUUUGGAAAGAUAAACCCAUAUACAGUAUAAUAUAGACCAUUUUAAAUUAAGUUUAAAUAUUUCAUGCUUUUUUUUUUAGUCUAGGGCUAGGCACAUACAGAUGAGGCUAAUCAAUAACUAAAUUUGCCAUAUACGAUGUGUGCAUGUUUAGUUAUAUUUUAGGACUAGUUGGUUCAACUUUAAAUUACAUAUUUGCAGUUUUAUGUGAUGGUCCACAUGGUCAUCACCCCCAUGUCCAUGUCAAUCCCAGAAGUGCAGCUGCGACAGGCCUCGACUCCUGAAGAAAUUCAGCAGAUGUCAGAAUUUUCUAAUGUAUUGAAUGUCUACAACGAGACUAUCCAUCCUGCGUCAAAUAUUUGGACUUGUUUUAAAUGACAGCAUAUAAUGUUGGUUGUCGUUGAUGUGACAGUACCUCAAUAAUGUGAAGAAACAAUAAAGGCAAUGAUUGUUUUUCUGCAAAGUAAUAUU